AGCCAUGUGAUAACUACAUAGUGAACUAUUCUUUCGCCUUUUACUAAAGAAUACCGUGUAGCUGUCAUUCAAAGUGGCAUACGACAAUUUUUUUUAAAAGUUCAACAUAAUGGUG